rnacentral:tRNA from 1 species
GGUUGUGGCUCAGUGGUAGAGUGCUUGCCUCCCAUGCUUGAGGCACUGAGUUCAAUCCUCAGCACAUCA